UUGGAGCCAAGGCUCCAAGGGUCUGGAACAAAUCGCGUGAGCCCAAGGAGCGGCGGCGGCGGCGGUGCAAGAAGACGAGCCAUCCUCCCCGCCCUCCGGGGACCUCUACCUCUUCGCGAGCUUCUCUUUGCAAGAGUAGGCGAGGACGAGCCUCCCCCAUCCUGGGUGUUGGUGCCUGACUCAUUUUAUCAAGAUAUGAUGUUCACAAGAGGUUCUCCCAAAAUUUUGAUGUUAUCUAAAGCUGCUCAAAAGAAGGUUUCUCCUAAAGAUUCUACAUCAAAGAAGUGUGGAGGUGGUGUUUAG
rnacentral:misc_RNA from 1 species